AGGUAAGGUGGCCGAGAGUAGAGGCGGUGGUCUGUAGCCCCAAGAACAGAGGUUUGAGUCCUCUCCUUACCA
rnacentral:tRNA from 1 species